AUUGAACGCUGGCGGCAGGCCUAACACAUGCAAGUCGAGCGGAUGAGGAGAGCUUGCUCUUCGAUUCAGCGGCGGACGGGUGAGUAAUGCCUAGGAAUCUGCCUGGUAGUGGGGGACAACGUUUCGAAAGGAACGCUAAUACCGCAUACGUCCUACGGGAGAAAGCAGGGGACCUUCGGGCCUUGCGCUAUCAGAUGAGCCUAGGUCGGAUUCGCUAGUUGGUGAGGUAAUGGCUCACCAAGGCGACGAUCCGUAACUGGUCUGGGAGGAUGAUCAGUCACACUGGAACUGAGACACGGUCCAGACUCCUACGGGAGGCAGCAGUGGGGAAGAUUGGACAAUGGGCGAAAGCCUGAUCCAGCCAUGCCGCGUGUGUGAAGAAGGUCUUCGGAUUGUAAAGCACUUUAAGUUGGGAGGAAGGGCAGUAAGUUAAUACCUUGCUGUUUUGACGUUACCGACAGAAUAAGCACCGGCUAACUCUGUGCCAGCAGCCGCGGUAACAC
rnacentral:rRNA from 1 species